GGGUCCGUGGGGUAGCUUGGUAUAGUUGCGGGGACCGUCUUGCGGUCUCCCCACCUACAAGAAAUCCUACCAGCUUGGGGUGCUGGCGACUCCGGUUCAAAUCCGGGCGGACCCA
rnacentral:tRNA from 1 species